AGACUGUGGCUUAAUUUGGGUCAGCAUAAGAAAUCUCACCGAGCUUAGACAUGGGACAGGACUGACACUGAUAGCUCUUUCCCAUUUCUGUGCAUGGUGUCCAGUUUUAGUUUGUGGAGCAAUUUUCCUGGUUAAUUUCAAUAACGAACAAGGCUCUGGCAUACUAACUAGUUACAGGCUUCCUACGCUAGGAUCACCCAAACACAUAAAGCAGUUAAUAACAAACAAAGGAAUUAAUUGAUAAUAAUACAAUAAUAGUAGGGGACUUUACAGCACACUUACAUCAAUGGACAGAUCAUUUAAACAGAAAAUCAACAAGGAAACAAUGGCUUUCAAAGACAUAAUGGAACACACGGAUU
rfam:Felis catus isolate Cinnamon breed Abyssinian chromosome X, whole genome shotgun sequence.